GUCGCGCGGGGUGGGCCGGAUCAGCAAGCAGUGGAGCGGCCUCCUUAAGGAGGUCUUUACCGACACGGACAAUUUCGGGAUCCAGUUCCCCAUCGAUCUGGACGUGAAGGUCAAGGCGAUUCUGAUGGGCGCCUGCUUCCUCAUUGAUUUUAUGUUUUUCGAAAAGACGGGCGAAGUUGGACAGAGGACCUCUGUGCUGUCCAGCUGAAAUCAUCUCAAAAUUGGGGGGAUAGUUUUCCUGGGUCUGACCUAACGGGGAGAGAGAGAGAGUGUGUGUGUGUUUUUGUGUGUGUAGAGGGUAUGUGUAUAUGUGUGUGUUUGGGUCUGACCACGAUGGUUUCUUAGUUAGGAUUGUCUUCUCUUCCCGGUUUGUCUCCCGUUCGUUGCGCAGAGGCGCCUCACAGUUGGAAGGGACCUGGUAGGUCAUCUAGUCCAACCCCGCCCCCUCCCCGCUCUUCCCGAGCAGACCCUACAGCAGUUUUGACAGACGGCAAGGCUGCCCAGCUGGAAGGUUCUCCCAAGUGUCCAAAAAAACUGGUCAUCUUAUCCUCAUUGCUCCGGUGCCCGAAAGCUGUUGUGGGUUUUGCACUCCUGCGCAAACCUUGUUAAGACUCCGUCCUGCGCUGAGCUCUUUAUCGGUCGUCCUCAGGCUAGGGAUUAUGGGACUUGAAGUCCAGCUCUGUGAAGGAGAGAAGGAGGUUGGGGAACGUGUUGGGGUUAGAGGGGUGCAGGGAGCAAGGCUAUCUUAAGAGUCUUGUCAAAAAAAAAAAAAUCAGAACGGUGGAUUAUUGUCUAACCAAAACUUUGCACGUAAAACCCGGCAGCCUUAAUCCUUAAGAAUUUCUCCAUUUCAGCAAGUUUAAGAUGUACGGACUUCAAUUCCCAGAAUUCCCCUGCCAACCUAAGAAUUAUGGACUUAGUAGAUCGGGGAUAUGCUUGCAGACAUAGUUUAUCCAAAGACUGGAUUUCUAGCAAGUAUCCUUUAUAAAUGACUAGCUGGCGAUCAGGCGUUGCCUGGAUAUUUAUAGACGUUGAAGCCUUUGUCUAAACAGGGAGCCAUGGAGAGGGGCCUUUCUUCCCCCUACUCCCAUGCCCAUCAUCCCUGCCCCUCUCCCUUCCCCCUCCCAUGCGCUCCUCUUUGCCGCCCUCUCUACAGUCCUGGCCCUUUGCCCCCAAUCCAUCAGGCGCUUCCCCAUUCGUCCACUGGAGGGAGAAUGUCCCGGCUGGCUUUCCAGAGGAAGCUGCGAAGGAAGUGACAUCACAAACAAUUGCCACUCUAGGAUGCCGCACUCGCUCUGCUUAACGGCCCAGGCUCUCCUCCCUCCCUCCCAUGACAUCACAAACAAUUGCUGCUCUAGGAUGCCACACUCAUUCUGCUUCCCAGGCUCUCCCUCCUCCCUCCCAUGACAUCGCAAACAAUUGCCGCUCUAGGACGCCGCACUAGCUCUCCUUAGCGGGCCAGGCGUUCCAGAGUUAUGCAGGAACACACCCAGUUUGGCUCAAAUUGCUCAAGGCAAAGAAGAAGAUAACAUAUCUGGCUAGGGGAAUUCUGGGAGUUGAAGUCCACAGAUCUUAAAGGUGCCCAGUUUGAACACGACAGCCUUCAGAUGAAGGUUUAUUCCUUGGGUGUGGAUUGAGUCAUUCCCAGGGAUGGGUGUCUGUGCCCCACAGAUUACCCAGACCUCCAAGCAGAGGGGCUGGUGGGGGGAACAGUGAAGAAACACACACACACACACAUCAGAGAGAUGUGCCAGGCAGAUAAUUAAUAGAAGGACACUUGGCAGAAUAAAUAUAAUUAUAUAUUGGCAGCUGUGCUGAAAAAUCCGAGUGGAGAAAAAGAAUAAUCUUUGCUUGUUAAAAGAAAAACAAAACAAGCCAUCUUUGGUUUAACAAAGGCUCUGUUGUUGGACUCAAAUCAGAUGAUGGCAAGACAAGGAGCCGAGCGGCUUGGGGGCCUCAAGCUUGGAAACCAAGCACAUCUGGAGACAUCUGUCUGUCUCAAUUGCUGAUUCACCGUUCUUUAUUUUUUUUAAUGGGAUGACACGGGACGUGGUCGGACUUGUUUUUGCCAACGUGGUGCCCUGGGGCGAUAGGCUGGGCUGCUGCCCCGAGAGGCAUGGGCGUUGUAGUCUUCAGCCGAUCGCGAAGGGGAGCGACUGGGAUGACGCUUUAUGGGUGUGUGAGUCUUGUCUGGAUGAUGUCCGGUGGGUGUUGGCGGGUGUCGGCAUGGAACGGACUGGUUGGCACGAAGGACGAAGCAUGAUCUUCAGCCAACCGUUUUGGCGUUUUGACUCUCUCCGGCGCAAAUUUGUAGAUAAUUUUGCUUUCCGAACUGGGAUUUUAAUUCCUUGGCAAGGCAUGGAUGUUUGCAACGUUUGUUGGUGCCACGUUGCCUUAACCACUAAACUAGCAAGACCCCCCUCCCUGCUUUUGAGGACUGUUAGGGUCUCACCAACAUCAGGUCAGGGUUGGGGGUCACGGCAAGGCAAAACCUCCCUUUUUUCCCUUCCCGAAUUUUCAGUGUCUUGUAUAAUAUUAAUAUUCGGUGUCUUUUUCUGUACUGUAUUUAAAUACCAAAUGUUUUGGGGCAGGAUGGGGUGAAUUUGUACCUCACAACUCUCGCAUUUUGACUGUGGAGAAAGGAUCCGUUGCUGGGAGGAAAAAAAAAAAGCAAAGAUGGACGCUUGCUUGGACAAAUUUAAGUCUCCGAGUUUGGGGUUCCAAUUUGGGUCAUCUUCUCCGACCGGUGGCACGGGUGAUGGGUUUUGUAGUUCCCACUCCUCGUGUGGAGGGAGGCUCGGAGCUAGUUUUGGGAGGUCAAGCGCACUGCAACACCCCCCCUUCCUUUGCAAGGAUGCCCUUUUGGGUCCCGCGGACGAAGGAACUUUUGAGUUUCCAAGCUGAACCAAAAAAAUGAAUAAAUAUGUUAAUUUGCUAA